CGUGAGUAACCUGCCCUUGACUCUGGGAUAAGCCUGGGAAACUGGGUCUAAUACCGGAUAUGACCUUCCAUCGCAUGGUGGUUGGUGGAAAGCUUUUGUGGUUUUGGAUGGACUCGCGGCCUAUCAGCUUGUUGGUGGGGUAAUGGCCUACCAAGGCGACGACGGGUAGCCGGCCUGAGAGGGUGACCGGCCACACUGGGACUGAGACACGGCCCAGACUCCUACGGGAGGCAGCAGUGGGGAAUAUUGCACAAUGGGCGCAAGCCUGAUGCAGCGACGCCGCGUGAGGGAUGACGGCCUUCGGGUUGUAAACCUCUUUCAGUAGGGAAGAAGCGUAAGUGACGGUACCUGCAGAAGAAGCGCCGGGCUAACUACGUGCCAGCAGCCGCGGUAAUACGUAGGGCGCAAGCGUUAUCCGGGAAUUAUUGGGCGUAAAGAGCUCGUAGGCGGUUUGUCGCGUCUGCCGUGAAAGUCCGGGGCUCAACUCCGGAUCUGCGGUGGGUACGGGCAGACUAGAGUGAUGUAGGGGAGACUGGAAUUCCUGGUGUAGCGGUGAAAUGCGCAGAUAUCAGGAGGAACACCGAUGGCGAAGGCAGGUCUCUGGGCAUUAACUGACGCUGAGGAGCGAAAGCAUGGGGAGCGAACAGGAUUAGAUACCCUGGUAGUCCAUGCCGUAAACGUUGGGCACUAGGUGUGGGGGACAUUCCACGUUUUCCGCGCCGUAGCUAACGCAUUAAGUGCCCCGCCUGGGGAGUACGGCCGCAAGGCUAAAACUCAAAGGAAUUGACGGGGGCCCGCACAAGCGGCGGAGCAUGCGGAUUAAUUCGAUGCAACGCGAAGAACCUUACCAAGGCUUGACAUGAACCGGACCGGGCUGGAAACAGUCUUUCCCCUUGUGGGCUGGUUUACAGGUGGUGCAUGGUUGUCGUCAGCUCGUGUCGUGAGAUGUUGGGUUAAGUCCCGCAACGAGCGCAACCCUCGUUCUAUGUUGCCAGCACGUGAUGGUGGGGACUCAUAGGAGACUGCCGGGGUCAACUCGGAGGAAGGUGGGGACGACGUCAAAUCAUCAUGCCCCUUAUGUCUUGGGCUUCACGCAUGCUACAAUGGCCGGUACAAAGGGUUGCGAUACUGUGAGGUGGAGCUAAUCCCAAAAAGCCGGUCUCAGUUCGGAUUGGGGUCUGCAACUCGACCCCAUGAAGUCGGAGUCGCUAGUAAUCGCAGAUCAGCAUCGCUGCGGUGAAUACGUUCCCGGGCCUUGUACACAUUACCCGUCAAGUCAC
rnacentral:rRNA from 1 species